rnacentral:rRNA from 1 species
ACGGGGAGCACCACAACAGGUGGAGCCUGCGGUUUAAUCGGACUCAACGCCGGGAAACUCACCAGAUAAGACAGCUGAAUGAUAGUCGGGCUGAAGACUCUACUUGACUAGCUGAGAGGAGGUGCAUGGCCGUCGUCAGUUCGUACUGUGAAGCAUCCUGUUAAGUCAGGCAACGAGCGAGACCCACGCCAACAGUUGCCAGCUCGUCCUCCGGGAUGGUGGGGACACUGUUGGGACCGCUCUGCUAAAGAGGAGGAAGGAAUGGGCAACGGUAGGUCAGCAUGCCCCGAAUUAUCUGGGCUACACGCGGGCUACAAUGGGUGGGACAAUGGGUAUCGACACCGAAAGGUGAAGGCAAUCUCCUAAACCCAUCCGUAGUUCGGAUUGUGGGCUGCAACUCGCCCACAUGAAGCUGGAAUCUGUAGUAAUCGUGUCUCAAAAUGGCACGGUGAAUAUGUCCCUGCUCCUU